AGCGGGGUAGUGGAAUUGGUCAACUCAUCAGGCUCAUGACCUGAAGACUGCAGGUUCGAAUCCUGUCCCCGCCU
rnacentral:tRNA from 1 species